UUCUCUUCUAAGUUAAUGACUCCAGCACUUUGGAUAUUGACUUUAAAUUCAUGGAAGAUAUUGAGAAGUCUGAAGCUCGCAUAGGCAUUCCCAGUACAAAGUAUACAAAAGAAACACCCUUUGUUUUUAAAUUAGAAGAUUACCAAGAUGCUGUUAUCAUUCCAAGAUAUCGCAAUUUUGAUCAGCCUCAUCGAUUUUAUGUAGCUGAUGUGUACACUGAUCUUACCCCACUCAGUAAAUUUCCUUCCCCUGAGUAUGAAACUUUUGCAGAAUAUUAUAAAACAAAGUACAACCUUGACCUAACCAAUCU
rnacentral:sRNA from 1 species